rnacentral:rRNA from 2 species
CUGGUGUCAGCCGCCGCGGUAAUACCAGCACCCCGAGUGGUCGGGACGAUUAUUGGGCCUAAAGCAUCCGUAGCCGGUACUGCAAGUCUUCCGUUAAAUCCGCCUGCUCAACAGUUGGGCUGCGGAGGAUACUACAGCGCUAGGAGGCGGGAGAGGCAAGCGGUACUCAGUGGGUAGGGGUAAAAUCCACUGAUCCAUUGAAGACCACCAGUGGCGAAGGCGGCUUGCCAGAACGCGCUCGACGGUGAGGGAUGAAAGCUGGGGGAGCAAACCGGAUUAGAUACCCGGGUAGUCCCAGCUGUAAACGAUGCAGACUCGGUGAUGGGCUGGCCUUGUGCCAACCCAGUGCCGCAGGGAAGCCGUUAAGUCUGCCGCCUGGGGAGUACGGUCGCAAGACUGAAACUUAAAG